rnacentral:lncRNA from 1 species
UUCCUUGCCAUGGGCGCCGGCUGCAGUGGUGUGGAUGGAUGUAGUGGGUACAGUGAAGGAUGGAUGGCGGAGGAAGUGGCGCCAUCUUGGAGAGGGUGAGGUACUUCCAGCGUCUUUACAGUGAAGACGAAAGUGAAUUAGUAGAACAGGAAAAAUAGAAGUACUGCUUGAAGGCCUACUACGCCAGGCACUGUUGCUUUUUACACAUCAAAACAAAAGAUGACUAAGACGGAAUCAGCCUCCCACUUGCUUACUCCAGAUGAGACCCUGCCUCAGGGUUCCUACCUGACCCAGGUGUGAGCUCAGUCUGUCUGAGGGUUUUGCUGAGGCAGCUGGGACAGAUGGUGCUGCUGUAGCCAUCUUGUGCUUAAGAGGAAAAGCCUGUCGAAGAAUGGAGCCCGCUUGAAGGCUAUGGAGAAGACAGGCACAGAGUGCGCUCCAGCACAG